rnacentral:rRNA from 1 species
UACGUAGGGGGCUAGCGUUGUCCGGAAUCAUUGGGCGUAAAGAGCGUGUAGGCGGCUCGGUAAGUCCGCUGUAAAAGUCCAGGGCUCAACCCUGGAAAGCCGGUGGAAACUGUCGGGCUAGAGUCCGGAAGAGGCGAGUGGAAUUCCUGGUGUAGCGGUGAAAUGCGCAGAUAUCAGGAGGAACACCAAUGGCGAAGGCAGCUCGCUGGGACGGUACUGACGCUGAGACGCGAAAGCGUGGGGAGCAAACAGG